GGCAUUCUCACUCCUUGUGGGUCUUCCUACCCUGGGGGCAGCCUGCUUCCUUUACUCCCUUAAGAACCAUCUUUUCUGAAGGCUCCAAGCCAGCUAGUCCCCCAUCCUGUCCUCCUACCCUCCUUUGAACAAAGCUGGAUGAUUGGAAAUGCCUUCUCUCUACCUAAGAGCUUGAUUCCUUUAAAUAGCUCCCCAACUUCCUGGUUCCUUCAGGAAGGCAUUCUGGAUUGAAAAAGCAACUUAGGAGCUGGAAUGUAGCCCCCAUCCCAGUUAGGCCUGCUUCAAAACUACAUGCAGUUGCAAAACCCCAUGGUCUAGUUCCAAACUGGCUUCAUACUUCAGUGCUGCUGAGUGGAGCUUGGCUCGUGCUUUUUCGUUUUGUCUCUGCUGCCGGAAUCCCACCCUCCUGUGGAGUGUCCCCUGCCCACACACACGCAGACUCUAGCUCUAGGCAGCCUCACUCUCCUCGGACACUUUCUCACUUCUUCACAGCACAGACCACUUCCUGCCUAGUCCUGGAAUGAGCACAGAUGUCUUUGCUCCUCAGCGAGCCUAUCAACUAGAAAGCCACCAUGAAGCCUCAAUCUUGGGAGCACAGUUUCUUGCCCAGAGACUGCCUGGCAAGUUGCUCCUAAAACAGAAUCAAACUGUUUGAGGGAGUCCUGAGGUUCCUGGAAGCAGUACCUCCCAGGGGUUAAGUUCAAAUCCUGGCUCUGUUGCUCUUUUACUUUACGGGCUUUGUGUGGACUACUUACAUUUAAGUGCUUCAGUUUCUUCAUAUGUGAGUUUCAGGAUCACAGGAUUUUUGUGAGCAUUAAGUGACUUAUAACGCUGAAGGAAUAAGAAAAAUGCCUUUAUACACCAAGUGCUCGGCAUAAUAUCACUACGGACAGUCAUGCUGGACACUCCUGGAACAUCUCUGUUCCUACCUCAGCCUCCAGUGGGGAAACAGAAACAGUUCCUGGGUCAUCUUUCCAGUCUGCACCCUUAUCUCUGCUGGUCAGAAGGAAGUGAAGACCCCAGUUCACUGAACAAGAUGAAACUGAACCCAAGAGGCUCUGUUUUCCUGCUUGCCAGGCCCUAGAAGAGCCAGUGUGGAGGAAGGUCUUAUUCAAAAAAAAAAAAAAAAGAAGAAGAAGAAAGAGGAGGAGCAGGAAAAGGAACAGGAGGGAGAGGAGAAGGAGAAGAAGAACAAGAGGACCAAGGGAGAAACGAUGGCAUUGAGCUUGGAUAACUGUCUGACCUCAAAGAGAAGAAACCUGUGAAAGGCACUAGCUAAAUCUGGAAGGAUCCAGAGAACAAUUUGAGGUCAUGGAUGCAAAUUCCCAGAAGAUAGAAUCUUGGCUCAACAUAAAAAAAGAUCUUUCUAGUAAUGAAAGCUUUCCAGGAAAAUAAGGUAGUGAGCCCUCUGUCACUUGGAGUGAGUAAAUAGAACACCCACCUGCCUGUGAUGCU